rnacentral:rRNA from 1 species
AGAGUUUGAUCCUGGCUCAGAUUGAACGCUGGCGGCACGCUUAACACAUGCAAGUCGAACGGUAGCAUGACUAAGCUUGCUUAGUUGAUGACGAGUGGCGAACGGGUGAGUAACGCGUAGGAAUAUAUCAUACGGAGGGGGACAACCAUUGGAAACAUUGGCUAAUACCGCGUAAUAUCUAAGGAUUAAAGGAUGGGCUUAUAUUUAUAUAACCAUUUGCCGGAUGAAUAGCCUGCGUACGAUUAGCUAGUUGGUUAGGUAAAGGCUGACCAAGGCGAUGAUCGUUAGCUGGUCUGAGAGGACGGACAGCCACACUGGGACUGAGACACGGCCCAGACUCUUACGGGAGGCAGCAGUGGGGAAUAUUGGACAAUGGGGGGAACCCUGAUCCAGCGAUGCCGCGUGUGUGAAGAAGGCCUGCGGGUUGUAAAGCACUUUCAUUGGGGAGGAGGGUAUAUUGGUUAAGAGCUGAUAUAUUGGACGUUACCCAAAGAAGCAGCACCGGCUAACUCCGUGCCAGCAGCCGCGGUAAUACGGAGGGUGCGAGCGUUAAUCGGAAUUACUGGGCGUAAAGGGUGCGUA